UAGAGUUUGAUCCUGGCUCAGAUUGAACGCUGGCGGCAUGCCUUACACAUGCAAGUCGGACGGCAGCGCGGGCUUCGGCCUGGCGGCGAGUGGCGAACGGGUGAGUAAUACAUCGGAACGUGUCCUGGAGUGGGGGAUAGCCCGGCGAAAGCCGGAUUAAUACCGCAUACGCUCUGCGGAGGAAAGCGGGGGACCUUCGGGCCUCGCGCUCAAGGGGCGGCCGAUGGCAGAUUAGCUAGUUGGUGGGGUAAAGGCCUACCAAGGCGACGAUCUGUAGCUGGUCUGAGAGGACGACCAGCCACACUGGGACUGAGACACGGCCCAGACUCCUACGGGAGGCAGCAGUGGGGAAUUUUGGACAAUGGGGGCAACCCUGAUCCAGCAAUGCCGCGUGUGUGAAGAAGGCCUUCGGGUUGUAAAGCACUUUUGUCCGGAAAGAAAGCGUCCUGGCUAAUACCUGGGGCGGAUGACGGUACCGGAAGAAUAAGCACCGGCUAACUACGUGCCAGCAGCCGCGGUAAUACGUAGGGUGCGAGCGUUAAUCGGAAUUACUGGGCGUAAAGCGUGCGCAGGCGGUUCGCUAAGACCGAUGUGAAAUCCCCGGGCUUAACCUGGGAACUGCAUUGGUGACUGGCGGGCUAGAGUAUGGCAGAGGGAGGUAGAAUUCCACGUGUAGCAGUGAAAUGCGUAGAGAUGUGGAGGAAUACCGAUGGCGAAGGCAGCCUCCUGGGCCAAUACUGACGCUCAUGCACG
rnacentral:rRNA from 1 species